UACGUAGGGUGCGAGCGUUGUCCGGAAUUAUUGGGCGUAAAGAGCUCGUAGGCGGUCUGUCGCGUCUGCUGUGAAAACUCGGGGCUUAACCCCGGGCCUGCAGUGGGUACGGGCAGACUAGAGUGCGGUAGGGGAGACUGGAAUUCCUGGUGUAGCAGUGAAAUGCGUAGAUAUCAGGAGGAACACCGAUGGCGAAGGCAGGUCUCUGGGCUGACACUGACGCUCAUGCACGAAAGCGUGGGGAGCAAACAGG
rnacentral:rRNA from 1 species